CUCCAGCUUCCAAACCAGUUCAUUAACGACUAUAUAGCUGCAUAAAAAUGUUUACAAAUGAAUUAAAAGAUGUCACCAACAGAAGACCUGUCCCUCCAGCCUUACAUGUUGGAACCAGUCUGCCUUGAAGAUCACUUCCGGUGUUGACCCAACAGGACCAAGUGAAAUUGGCGUUGUCGAAAUGGCGGCUUCAAGGACCGGAGGACGGCCCGCAGCGGUCGACUGUUUUGUCUCGGACAUCCACCGGAAGAUGGAGGCUGACAAAGCUGACCUGUUUUUUGUCUGCUGAUCGUGUCAGACUUUUCUGGCAUUAUUCCAACAUGUUUCUGCUUUCAUACCACGACACUCACAUUGCUUUAAAAUUGAAAACUUAGCCUUUUUAUUUUUGCAGUUGUCAUUUUUGUAAUUUAGUUUUAAAGAAAAAACCCCCACCCGAUUAGUCAUUUUUUUCUUGUUUCAUUGUGAAACAGAAAAACCAAAAAUAAGUUUUUUUUUUCAGCUUCAGACCCACAAAACACCAGCAGACCUGUGGCCCCAACUUGUUUUAGUUGAUAUCAGGUCAAAUAACAAUAUUCCUUAUGCUACUUUCAUCCAGUUUUAAACACACUAAACUCACUUUUUGUAACAAUUAGGGAUAAAAAUAGUUGCUACUCGUCAUUUUUUAAAUGUAAUAAACUCUGAAAAGCUUU